UGGGGUGUAGCCAAGCGGUAAGGCAACAGACUUUGACUCUGUCAUCUCGAUGGUUCGAUCCCAUCCACCCCAGCCA
rnacentral:tRNA from 1 species